ACGAACGCUGGCGGCGUGCUUCACACAUGCAAGUCGAACGGAAAGGCCCCCUUGUGGGGUACUCGAGUGGCGAACGGGUGAGUAACACGUGAGUAACCUACCCUUGACUUUGGGAUAACUUCAGGAAACUGGGGCUAAUACCGGAUAGGAGCUCCUGCUGCAUGGUGGGGGUUGGAAAGUUUCGGCGGUUGGGGAUGGACUCGCGGCUUAUCAGCUUGUUGGUGGGGUAGUGGCUCACCAAGGCUUUGACGGGUAGCCGGCCUGAGAGGGUGACCGGCCACAUUGGGACUGAGAUACGGCCCAGACUCCUACGGGAGGCAGCAGUGGGGAAUAUUGCACAAUGGGCGGAAGCCUGAUGCAGCAACGCCGCGUGCGGGAUGACGGCCUUCGGGUUGUAAACCGCUUUCGCCUGUGACGAAGCGUGAGUGACGGUAAUGGGUAAAGAAGCACCGGCUAACUACGU
rnacentral:rRNA from 1 species